rnacentral:rRNA from 1 species
UGGGGAAUUUUGGACAAUGGGCGCAAGCCUGAUCCAGCAAUGCCGCGUGCAGGAUGAAGGCCUUCGGGUUGUAAACUGCUUUUGUACAGAACGAAAAGUCUUGGGUUAAUACCCUGGGACCAUGACGGUACUGUAAGAAUAAGCACCGGCUAACUACGUGCCAGCAGCCGCGGUAAUACGUAGGGUGCAAGCGUUAAUCGGAAUUACUGGGCGUAAAGCGUGCGCAGGCGGUUAUGUAAGACAGAGGUGAAAUCCCCGGGCUCAACCUGGGAACGGCCUUUGUGACUGCAUAGCUAGAGUACGGUAGAGGGGGAUGGAAUUCCGCGUGUAGCAGUGAAAUGCGUAGAUAUGCGGAGGAACACCGAUGGCGAAGGCAAUCCCCUGGACCUGUACUGACGCUCAUGCACGAAAGCGUGGGGAGCAAACAGGAUUAGAUACCCUGGUAGUCCACGCCCUAAACGAUGUCAACUGGUUGUUGGGUCUUAACUGACUCAGUAACGAAGCUAACGCGUGAAGUUGACCGCCUGGGGAGUACGGCCGCAAGGUUG